rnacentral:rRNA from 1 species
UACGGGGGGAGCAAGCGCUGUUCGGAUUUACUGGGCGUAAAGGGCGCGUAGGCGGUCAGCACAAGUCAGUUGUGAAAUCUCCGGGCUUAACUCGGAAAGGUCAACUGAUACUGUGCGACUAGAGUGCAGAAGGGGCAACUGGAAUUCUCGGUGUAGCGGUGAAAUGCGUAGAUAUCGAGAGGAACACCUGCGGCGAAGGCGGGUUGCUGGGCUGACACUGACGCUGAUGCGCGAAAGCCAGGGGAGCGAACGGG